CCAGCUGUACUGGUCUUCCUAUAAACUAUUUAACUAUCAUGUAAUGAUUAAAAUUAUCAAACAUAUUUCAUCUAACUGCACAUAUUUACUAAAACAUAAUUAAAAGAGUAAAUCUAUGUUUAGAGUAUUACAUGUAUAGUGUAUUAUAUUUCAGAAUUCCUGUUUAACAAGAAACCACGUGCUUAAUCUUGUUAUUUUGUUCGCUGUUUUGCUAUGAGAAAUAACUGAAAACAAUAACGAGGAAUAAAUAAAAUAUCGAAGAAUUUCGAUUAAUGGUACUACAGAGAAGGCUAUUUUUCUGUAACUUUUAGAUAGCAUGAACAUGGCGUCAUAUGGGACUUGGCAGAAUGACACAUUUCCGGGUGGGGGAGUUACCUUACCUCCGAGAGGGUAUCCAAAAGAAGAAUCUGACACAGAUCUAUAUGGAUUUCAGAUGAUGUACACUUAGUCACAUUACGGCUGUUUGUGUUCGUGAUCGUCGUAGUGAUGAUGUUUGGAGUUAGUAUUGGAUGUUACCGCAUCAGAAAUAAAUGUAAAGAACCUGCAAUCAAUGACGACCUUUGAGUGUCAUCGAAGGCCGCAGGUAGCAAAACGUCUGAAGUUACCUUCCACGAGUUUCGGCACGUCACAGGCAAAACAGUUUUGCGUACCACCUAGUUCCACCCUCAGGAGAGUCCGCGAUUGGUUAAUCUAUACAGUCAUUUUGUCUAGAUGAAAUUUGGCGUUAAGGUUUCAAACAUUCUCAUGCUGAACGUCGUUUUCAUGAAAUAAGAACAGAUGACGACUACUGAGUGUCAACAGAUUGUUCGGAAAACAAAACAUGUUAUGAAUGGUAGUAAUUAUAUGUGUACGUGUUGUUGAUGUUUAUGAGCAAAACUUUCCUGAUGAUAUGCUCAAAAUAUGCCUUAUGCACAAAGCAUGCACCAGAAGUAGAAACAGACUGAGGAAACACGGUGGGGAAAAUAGCUUAUCACAUAGAUGUGUUUACAUCCAAUAAAAAAUGUCUGACUGAUAAGCAGAAAGCAUAUUGCAUGGACAAAACACUUAACUGGAUAGCAAAUUGUCAUCAACACACCAUGCAGUCCAGUUCGUUUAUACAAAAACAUGUGACCAUGCUGUAUAAAGACAGUUUAAUAAUAAAUUAUACAUGUAGAUCUAUUCCAUAAUUCAUUAAUAAAAAUGAGAAUAAGGUAUUUUUGAAGCGUCAUCAAAACACCACCUGAAAGCCGACAAGGAAGUACACAUUUGUUAAUGUCAACACAAUUGUUCGACCACUGGUCAGUUGAGUUGUCUCUUACUGCGUCGUGUUAAAAUGUUAUUUAUAGAACAGCGUUUUCUUUUUCCUAAACAAUGUAUCUUGAUUGCAAUUCCUUUUUGACCUGCGAAAGUUGUUUGAGGUGGUCAAUCACAUUUGGACAACAUUGUAUGACAUUUUUCAUAUUUAGUAUAUGUUCAGUGAGAUAUUUAUCUAACCUUUACCCUGCUAAAUUUCUGAAAUGGACCGGUCCAUCAUUCAAUUUGGGCAAUGCCACUUAUUAUUCAAGGGGUGUUCACCACUGAAAACUUACUGACUUAAUACCGAACAGUGCAGACCAUGAUCAGUGCAGACUGAUCUUGGUCUGCAAUGGUCGCAAAGGCAAAAUCACUUGAGGCCAGCAGGCUAAAGAUAAAACAACCAAAAGACCCUAUUUAACAGAGUUAGGUUCCUAUCAGAAAUGUAUAUUUUAUUAUUUUUAUGAAAUUUUGUAAUUACUGCCCUUUAACUAACAUGAAAGUUUUCAAAAAGUGUAGUACUGACAAUUUCUAAAUUCGCAUUUGCAUUUGAUAGCUACCAAAAGACAAGUUGUAAAACAUUGUGUAGUUGUAGAAUUCAUUUAUUUCCUGGUUUCUAUCCUGGUUGCGCAACAAAUAUAGGUAAACGGAGGUAAUAUUCAUUUUACAAAGUUGCAUUUCUAAUUAAUGUCGGCUAUUAUAUAGUAAUAAUAUAUGUACAUAUCUGACAAUAAAUUACAAUAGUUCUUAUAUUCAUUUAAUUUCAUGGGCAGGUUUGUGUAUUAAAUUUAUACAUAUGCUUAAAUAACUCUAUCUAUUGUUGGGCAACUCAGAUAGAAAAUUCAAAUGCAGUGAAAUUCUAGCAUGUAAUUAGCCUUCAGUGAACACAAAUAAGUGUAUUAAAUCGAUCAUUUGUUAAACUUUCGACCAAAUUCAUUACUAGGUCAAAAUCUGAUUAACCACCUUUAAUUAAGGAGGGCUUACUUCUUUUGUGACUAUGUAACAAGGCGACGCAAGAAUAUUUAACUUAUGGGUAUAUUACUUCUUGUGUUAGGAUGUUUCUGCAAGUAAUGCAAUACUGAUUUUUUUUUCACUCUGAAUGGUACAAAUCAACGCAAAAUGCGUUAUUUCUUUACACAAGUCUUAAAUAUAUUUUUUUUUUAGAUUAUUCCCAUUCCUUUCAGUUGUCAUUAAAGUUGUUACGGGUUCUUUGCAAUAUUUAUUGGUCUCAGAUGUCGUUACAAUGUUAGUGGUGACAAUUCGUUUUUAUUAUAUUUGUUUUUAAGAAUAGUGAUUUUGUCGUUGAUUCAGAAUCAAAUCAAUGUGUCGAGUUCAGCUUCGAAGGAAAGAUAUCACGAAGGCGCAAACCGAGUGAUAUAAUAUUUAAAAAAAAAAUAUCUAAAUUUUUUUCGUCUAUUAAGUAAAGAAAGGAAGUCAAGUGUUGUAUAUUCUGAGCGGCUGACGCGCGGACCGGUAUGAGAACAUUAUGAUGUCAAUAAUUACAUCAAAUAGCCACAUGGAGGCCUUUUCGUUACUAUAAUGUAUGUACUUAAGCAGCAUGCAGUGAUAUUUUUGCAUAAUAUUUCUUAAGAAUGCUUUAAAACUUAAUUACUGACAAACCAUAUGUUACAGAAACACAUGAGAAUUAGUUGUUUUUUACUAAUUUUUAUGUUGAAAAUCGAAAAGCGUUUGUAACGCUUUACUCAAGGUAAAAUGCCUCAAUUAUUAAUAUGUAUAUUUAACGGGCAUUGAACACUAAAUCCUCCCUAGCGCUAUUGGUAGCGACGGCGGAAAAUUUCUUUAUUGCUGCGGCGGCCCGUGUUCGAUUCUCGACGCGGUCGUCUUUUAUUCUUGAUUUGGCCUUUUUAAAAUAGUUUAGAAACAAAAGCUCAUAUUCUAAUGUUCAUAAUAUAACCAAACUUCAUUAUGAAAGAACAAUAUUUAUUUUAGCCAAACUGAUCUGGAGGCCAGUGCCUUUAAUAAUAGCUUACUAGAUAACUUAUUCACUAGCUAACUUACUAGCUCUGACUGACACUAAAAUGACAUUUAGCUGUGAUUCAGUACUUCAUACACUGCUAGUUAACACAGUUAGUCAAGUGCAUUACAUUUUGUUGUUAAUUUUCUAAAUCUACAGUUAAUAUCUAAAGAUAAAUAGUUCAGUAAAGGAUGAAAAUAGUAUUUCAUUAAAAAAUAAACUUCAACGUUUAUAAUAUCUCUGGCUUGGAAGGUGGCAAAGUUGUAUUUUUAUACAGUGAGUUAAAGACAAGGAAGAAAAAUAAGUACGGCAGUUAAAAUUUCCAUGUAUUAUUUGUUUCUAAAAUUAGAUUGUAUUAUGACAGAUUGUAUUAUGACGGAAGUAUAUUUACUUCGUAUUUACGCAGUAUUAAGUAUACCUGUAUUUGGCAACCAGGUCUAGAAUAGUAAAUAAUUCUGCCGCUACGAAAGAUACUGUUGAUAAAUCAAGACGAGGUAGAUCUACAUAUUUUACUUAUAAUAUGAAUCCAGUUGCAGAUUCUACAGAGAAUUGGAAUUUCUUACAUAUUUUAAAUAACACAGCGCCCAAUGGAACUUUGCAGGUCACAAACCUGACAGAGCAUUCAACAGAAGAUGAUACAGAUGAUGUCCACUUUGUCAUAUUGCGGUUAUUCACGUUCGCAUUAAUUGUUGUGAUCAUGUUCGGUGUAGGUCUUGGGUGUUACCGCCUCAGGAACAAUUGUAAGGAACCGGCCAUUAUUGACGACCUAUGAAUAUCAACUUAUGACCGCAGGAAGCAAGCAGUCCCAAGUCACCGACCCUAAAUGGCGGCACAAAUGCAUGGUUGCUCUUUGAUUUCCACUCUGAUGAGAAUCUAUGAUAGAGAUAUCAUCAUUGCACAUUCUACGUGUCUAUAAAUGACAAGUGGCUUCAAUGUUUUAAUCAACUGUCGUCUUCGUGAAAGCGAAUUAAAAGAACGAAUGGCAGCUAUCAAGUAUGAAUGACAGACUCGUUGUGAGAGAGACCGCAACGAAAUAAAUAAAUAAAUAAACAGAUAAUUAAACAAAUACAUAUGUAUGUAUAUGCACCAAGGGAAAACCCUGCUGGAAAAUAUGCUCAGUUUGCUGAAAUCUCUGCCAAACACCCGCAAAUGAAUAUUUUAGGACGGUUCUUAAAAAACACCGCAUUUUCGUUAUUGAGAAGACACUAAGAAAGUGUUGAAUUCACACCUGAAAGGACGGCAUACUGACCAAAGACAGAGCAAAAUCCUGUUGAUUUGAAAAAUAUUCUUUUUGCUAAGUUAGAUGCAACUUAGUGUCAAGAGAUGUUACUAAAUAUUUACGUUGAAUAAAAGUUGAUUAUUUUUUAAAAAUGAUUUGCGUUUUCUAUGCCGAUAAGUGUACGAAGAUGCUAACUAGUGUACAUGUACCAGUCAGUUGAAGGGAACAAAACCCACUGGCUUCCCACUGAGGACGAAAAACCUUGUCAACAACAAAAGUGAAAGACGAAAAGGGAGCAUAUUUUUGUGAAAAAAAAAGCUAAAAAGAGUUAUGGAAAUUGAAUAAUGCAUAUCAUAUUCCCACAGUUCCACUGAUAUCAGCUGGCAUACCAAAACAUAACAAAACUUGCUAUGUAGUAAAAGGAUCACUACUUAGAGAAAAGGCAAAUCUUUGCAUUUCAUGCCAGACCGUCACAGUAAAUAAGUGUAUGAAGUUUCAAUUCAUUCCCAAUAGUGGCUUCUGAAACACCAUCUUGCAUGUAAAAUCUUAGUCAAAUACUGCAUUAAGUCGAAAAAAAAAUAUGGCACAACUUCAUAAAAGUUACAGCUGUGCAGUUUAUGUCUAAUCAUCACAGUGAGCACUCAGAUUACCGAGACAAAAAUCUUAACCAAAACGGGACGCAGACGCAGAUCUAUGCCAACGCUUCCUAUCCUUCGAGUUUAGUUAAAAAAGAAACUAAUUAGUGACUAACAGACAUUCUCCUGACUGUGUAAAGUUGAUAAUAACCAGUGUAUUCGGUGUUUGUAGUCGGUUCUAUUUAUAGCUCGAUGUCCUUGACUUUGGAAUGAUCUAGUCUUAUUUUUGUAUUUAUUUACGUUUUAAAAUCUGCUAUGUAUAGCAUCAUAUGACUUUAACUGUGUCAGCAGAACAGGAAGUAUAUAGUAACUGCCUAUGAAUAAUAGCGGAAUCCCAUCGUUAUUUACUAUAUUUUUAUACCUUUGUAACAAUGUUUACAUUGGUUUAAAAUUUAAUCUCCAAACAAAAGUUAUAUUUCGAAGAACAUGAAUAAAUUUCCUACCAGAAUUAGAUAUGAAUUUUAGAAAUAGCCUAACUAUGACUAAUGAAAGUUGUCAAAUUAUUAUGUAGUUGACAAUAAUGAUAGAUAUCCUGUAAUUAUAAACACUAGAGAAAAUAAAAAAAGUUUCUGUUUCCUGAAGUGUUCUAGAUAAUUAUACAGUGAUUGUGAUUUGAAAUCUAUGUAGUUUUAAGAAACAUCUCUGUUGCCAUAUGAUAGGAUAUAUUUUAGAGUUACUGCAAAAGUUGUUUCAGUAUUAUUUCUCAUUAUUCAUAAAUUUGUUUUGGUUUAGAGAUUAUUUUGAUCAUGUGAUUCCCCAAAGUGUAUGCUAUAAUAUAUAGAUUGGAAAACACUACUUUCAUAACAUACAUAAACAGAUGUAAAGACGAAAGAAAACUUGUAUUUACUGAAUACUAGUAUUAUAAAUCCGACGAGAAUGUCUGAACUUCACAAGACUGUUAAGAGAAUGGACUCUGGAAUUGGCAAUUUGGUCAAUAACAUCGGUAGGCGUAUUGGUACAUACGGAAAAACAGAAGAACGACUACCAAAGGAUUCCAGCGCUGAAGACUGGUUGAUUCCGUUAGCCCUUUUCAUUGGGGCUCUCAUAGUUGUGGUUGUUGUUGUGUGGGUACGUUGGUGUAUUUCCCGCAAUAAAUACAAGAACCUGAAAAACAAUGUCGUUGCUGUCCAUGGGCAACCAGUCUGAAAAAAUUUCAUUGUUAACAGUUUCUUCUCUUCUCUCUCAGCUGAAGAUGUACGUAGCUUCUAUUUGAAAUCUCGCUUCAAACACGGAC
rnacentral:misc_RNA from 1 species